GAUGAACGCUGGCGGCGCGCCUAAUACAUGCAAGUCGAGCGAACAGACGAGGAGCUUGCUCCUCUGACGUUAGCGGCGGACGGGUGAGUAACACGUGGAUAACCUACCUAUAAGAUUGGGAUAACUUCGGGAAACCGGAGCUAAUACCGGAUAAUAUAUUGAACCGCAUGGUUCAAUAGUGAAAGACGGUUUUGCUGUCACUUAUAGAUGGAUCCGCGCCGCAUUAGCUAGUUGGUAAGGUAACGGCUUACCAAGGCAACGAUGCGUAGCCGACCUGAGAGGGUGAUCGGCCACACUGGAACUGAGACACGGUCCAGACUCCUACGGGAGGCAGCAGUAGGGAAUCUUCCGCAAUGGGCGAAAGCCUGACGGAGCAACGCCGCGUGAGUGAUGAAGGUCUUCGGAUCGUAAAACUCUGUUAUUAGGGAAGAACAAAUGUGUAAGUAACUAUGCACGUCUUGACGGUACCUAAUCAGAAAGCCACGGCUAACUACGUG
rnacentral:rRNA from 1 species